UGCAAGAGUUAGGGUAGAAUGUUAUUGAACACUGAAAGUUUUUGGUUAAUUUACUGACGGACAUGAGGUUAAACGGAAAUUGAGGAAGGUAAAGCACUGAGGAUAAUGGCAAGGAAGGAGUUGGAUAAACUAUGCCAAUCCCCUUAACAUGUGUAGAUGAUCCAUUGGCUAUGGUUACCAUGGAUGAAGAUGAAGUAAUAGAGGAAAAUAUACCUGAAAGACCUGACAUGUGGUCAGAAGCCCCUAAAUCAAUGAUCCAAGGACGAGAAGGAGCUGAAGGGCAUGCAGUAGCAUUACCUGUCUGUACCAAAGUAGCAGUGGAAGAAGCAGGCUGUGAAAUCUGAGACUGGGUGUACCGUG